AUGCUAGAGACAAGACAGUGAAUAAUCCAUUUGAACGCCAGUCAAGAAUGCGUAUGGCAGCUCAAACCUCCUCAAGCACAAAUAUUUUUCCAGAGGUAGAAUGACAUCUAGAUAACUACUGUUUCAAAGUGAUGUUAAUUGUCUUCAAUAAAAUGAAAUUUGAAAUUUCCCACCCAUAUGGAAAUCAUCUGAGCUUAGCAAAAACAUUUUCAAAUACUAAUGAAGUGGCAUGAAAUAUUGAUUAUAUUACAAGCUUUCUUAAUUUUCAUUUCAUUUUUUAACUUAGUACUGUAAGCAAAGAUAACCAUUUCAAGAACUUUUUAACCAGGUCUGCAAAACCUGUGUGAUUACCAGGCCAGAUCCUCUGAAUGGCCAGCCUCUUACGGGGCAGAGUUUUCUGAGGUAACAGGCCACUGCUUUUCCCUCCUCUAACAAAAAGCCAGGAGGUACAGAUUCCUACUUAGGCCACAGAAAAUGACUGAUCUGUUCAACUUUUCAACUCACCACCUUAGUUGUGUGCUGGAAACAAUCUGCAGUCUUUGCUUCACACAGGAGGUGAUGAGGGUUGGGGGAAGGGGAGAGCCUAGCUUCAGGAAAUGGUGCUUUCAGUGUUAAGAGUAAGGGCUGUUCGGCCAGUCAUAAAGGAACCACUCAGCCCUGUUGUGUUCUUCUGGAGUGAAGACCUGGAGUCCAGAUAUCAGGUGGCUCCUUCAAAUGAAUAUUUAAGUAUCUCAGAUGAUGAAGAAGAAUAGAGAUAUCAAUUAGGAUUCAGAAGACAAGCCUCUGCAGAAAAUGCUUAAAGGAGGGCAUCAAGGAUUAAUAUUAAUAUUUGAAAGUUUACAAGAGGGUAUCCUUUUCUUCAGUUAACAAGUGACGAAAGUAAAAUGAGACUGCAUUUGUUGUUCCUGGAAGAAGCCUGGCAGCAUUCCAUCCAGACAUCUACCCUUUAACUGUUCCAUUUUCUUUACUCAUUUUAGUUCUUCUAAUCUUUAAGGCAGAGUCUGAAUCUUUCUUCCUGAACUGUUUUCUAUCCAUCACUUUUAGAGAUGACUCCUUCCUCCAAUUCCUAUGUUGUUAAUACCACUUAUUUGGCAAUUUAGCACAUGAUACAUUGUACUGCUGCUAAGUCGCUUCAGUCGUGUCCAACUCUGUGCGACCCCAUAGACAGCAGCCCACCAGGCUUCCCGACCCUGGGAUUCUCCAGGCAAGAACAUUGGAGUGGGUU
rnacentral:lncRNA from 1 species